UACCCAUGGUGGUCGUCAGCGGUGUAGUCAACCUUGCGGACGGAACCGUCGGGUUCAACCAGAGAGUAGGAUCCGUGGACAGCACCACCGUCGCGGCUCUCGUGCUGGGACUUGUGGUCGCCGGUGUGGGGGUCAGCGACGGAGUAAGAGUAGUCGUAUCUUGGGUGAGACUGCAAAAUCAAUAAAUUAGCAUGUACUGGGGCAGCAUGGACGGCAUGGACGAUGGGAGCGUGUACGACGGGAGCGUGAACUACGGGGGCGGCGUGAACCACUGGGGCGGCAUAGUACGAAGCUCCGUAGUGUACGGGGGUGUCAUGGCGGACGAUGCUCUGGGAGGACACGGCUCCAUGGUGCACUGGAAGGAAGCCAGCGUUGACGGCUGCCAACACGGCGCUUAUAGCGACAAUCUGUAAAACAAACGACGAAUUAGAAUAUUGAUAUCCUGCACCUUUUGUAAUCUUUAACGAAAAAAUAACUUAAAGGGUUAAAGUUAGUUCUAAAGGCUUACUUUGGAGAACAUUUUGCUGUACUAAUCAGAGCAGGUGACUGAUAUCAUUAUCGUGGUCGCCUGGACUUUUAUAUGAAAUCCAAAACCAACUGGACAGCCCUAGUGGUGGGGUGUACGGUCAGUGAGUUCCGUAAGUUUGACACAGCGAGGUCAUAUGUUUCGCGCCUUCGAUAAUAGGCCUCCUUCCUCAAUCUUGUCAUUUGCGCCCUGCAGCCACGACUAUGUGUACGAACCACAAGCUCUGUUAUUUGACAUUCGAGCUUUGAUAUAUUACGAUUUGAUAGAACAGCCAGAUCAUGUAUUAUAGUUUCAGUUAAAUCAAAUAGCAUUCUGAUGUAAAUGGAAGUAAUAUCACUAAAAAUAUUUUUACCGGGAAAAUGUACACGCAUCAGUGAUAAAGGAUGUUUUUUAAUUCAAAACAGUUUAAUAUUUCGAUAUACAUGACUUUUAAAAAUAUAAAGGUUACAUUUGAAAAAAAUUGGCUUAUCUAAAUAAUCCAUACCAAUGUCGUUAAAUCGAAAAAAUAUCCUGAAAUAGUGUAGUAAGUUUUGCGUAAUCGCAAAUUGUUCAAAAUUUUGACAAAUACGUAAAUUAUAUCGAUAAUUGCAGAUAAAAUUAUGGGUGUAAUAAAUUUCUUUAAGUGUACCACGUAACGUAAUCGAAAUAAAUUAAAUUUUGUUUUUGGUUCAAAAAACCUUUUAAGUAAUAAAUAUCGGGAAAAGGCAAACAAUUCUUAAAUUUCACGGAUACUAUGCAUAUUAGAAACAAAAAACAAUAUUUUGUUAACAAUUCUAAAAAAACAUUAUUGUGCAAUGCAUACUUAUCCUAAUCUGUAUAACAUUGUCCGAAUCUAAAAUAUUACGGACAUAGAGUGAUAGAUAACAUUCUCCCGAUAAAAACAUUGUCAGUGGGUCAAAUAUUACUUCAAGGCUAUCCAAAAAUUAGCAAUCAAUUAAAGGCGUCAACCCACUGAUACGAAGCGGUAAAAUCGAUCUCAUUAUUGCAUUAUGCGUUACAAAACUGAAUAUCGUGUGCACUUUAUAAACCACAUGGGGGUCACUUAUCUAAAAUUGUCAGGUAUUUGGUUUCCUAACUACGUUCGUAAUGCGAUCAUAAGGGUCGAUAUAACUAAUUGUGUAAUGAACUUAUUGAAAUAAUGAAAAAAACCAUUGUUUAGACACGCCUUGACUCAGUAACCCUGUGUCGACAUCUACUCUAAUGUUUUUCUGAGUGAAUGGUAUGUGUGGACAUAAAUCUGAUAGAAAACGAACUACUUAAUAAGCAUGUAAAUAUAGUUCAAUUAUGCAUCUAAGUUUGUAAAUUGAGAUCGUAAUUAUACACCUAUUUUUAUUAAUUUA